rnacentral:tRNA from 1 species
AUCCAGAUUUGGGAAUCGAACCCACAGUGUUCCGUUUACUGAGCAGAUGCCAUGUCCACUAGGCUACCCUAGA